GUCAGGAGAGGGACAGAGCUGUUCUCUCCUCCUGGGCCCUGGAGGAGGCAGUUAGGUGAGAAAACAGGGAAUUAGUCAAUUCCUCACAAUUUGCUGGCAAAUUCUGUUCUUCAAGUUCUAAACUUCACUAUGGCCUUGAGAAAAUCAUUGGGCAAGAAAGGGUCAAGCCCACCCCCACCCCCCACCACGUGGUACACAUGUGGAUUCAGGGCGUGGUUGUGACCAGGACUCCCAGGCCAUUAAGGGGUGGGGUGAGGUCAGUUGUUCAACCCUUUAUUGAGCUCCUCCUGUAUGCUGAGUGCUGUGCAUGCAUACGACUGUUCCUUCCCAUAGCAACCCUAUAAUAUAGGUGCCAUCACCAUCCACUCUGGCGGAUGAGGGUACAGAGAGGCCGAGUAACAUGCCAGGCUCACUUAGCUCAUCAGGCUCUGAGCUUAGAGCCUGGGACAAUGUAAAGGCAAUGACCACGCGGUGCUUGGGCUGCAGGAACAGAGGAGGGACACCUGAUCCAGCCAGACUGUGGCCCUGGGGUUCACAUCCUGACUCCGCGAGGUCUUCAGGAAUCAGGACUAUUCCAGAUAUCCUCCUGCUUUGGUAAAAGUUAAAUCGGAAUAUUAUGAUAAAAAUGAGCAGCACACCAAGUGCUGCAGGUACUAUGCCGGGGCUUUCCUGUUUAUUCUCCUUCCUUCCUCCCAGUGAGCCCAGAAGGCAAGAAUCGUUAUCAUCCCCGUCUUACAGGUGAGGAAGUUAAGGCUCAGAGAUGGUCAGACAACUGUGGGAAUCCAGCCAAGAUGUGAACCCAAAAUUUGGCUUGACCUGAAAUUCCACAUUUUUCCCACUCCUUCUUUGUAAUGUUUUCCUGUGCGGGUACCCUGGGGGAAAUGGGUUGAAUUCAACUGAUGUCAUCUUUAAAUACUGUUUGUUGGUUUGAGUUUGGAGUCAGUGACAUGGAGCCCCCGGGAUGCUUGUAAGAGGGUGGCCGAAUCCAGUUCAGGCUGCCAGCCGAGCUGACUGAGUGCCUGCCCGCAGCCAGAGCUCAACAAAAAUGCAGCGACUGAUCAAUUGCGAGUCAACACCCACCUAUUCCCCGGUGCUUAGGGAAGUGCCGGCAACAGGACCGGUCUGUACAAUGGGCCGUGCUGGUACUCAGCGAGUGAGAUGCCGAGCUCUUUGCCUCCCAUUGUCCCUGGUUCCUGACCUAAAACCGAAUGAGUCCGGCCGCCGGAUUCCAUCAAAAGCUCCCUCCCUGCACCCUCCUCCCACCCCCAGUCUCUGUAGGAGACCCAGGCCUGUCUAGUUUCCAUGGAUGGAUCACACACCCAAGUCACCCUGGAUGCCAUCAGGACCCAGACUCUACAAAGAACAAGCCAGGCCCCUGAGAGUUCGCCCUCCCGGCAUCGAACGGGAGAGGUUUACAGAGCAGCACAAAGGCUGCAGAAGUUCACAGACCCUUCACUCUGCUUGGGUUCCCACAGGCCAGUCCACUCACCACAGGUCACGGGCCAAACCUAUCAUUUCCUGCCUUCUCUGCUGGCAGUCUCUCCUUGUUUGAGCCAGUCCCGAAGGACAACCUUCUGCCCUCAGCCUGCUCGCUGAAACUGCCUCUCUCCCUUCAGUUCAGCCCCCUCUGGGUUCACCCCUAGGUCACCCGGGUGGAGAGCCCACUCCAUGUCAGGCAAGCACAGUGCUAGGAGCGGGCGUUGCCGUGGAAAGGGAGUAAACCGCUCUCAUGGGCUCACGUCUCAGCUCCCAGGGACCUGAAGUCUCCCCCUGAGCUAGGGGGGUGAAGACAGAGCGGGCUGCCCACAGAAGAAUGCGGUAAAGUGGCAAAGUCCCUGGUGGGGGGAGGAGAGUUAGGGGCUGAUGGCCAGCCCCAGGAGAGGUUCACCUCGGCACCCCCUUCCAGCAGCCCUGCCCCUUCCGGCAGACAAGCCUGCAGCUGGGUGUUGUCUUUCUUAGGGUGGUCGGCAGUGGGGAGCCUGACCCGCCUUCACCCGGCCCCCCUCCGGCCCCACCCCACCAUGAAGUGGUGAACAGACCCAACACACUGUACCCUCCAAGAGGGCAGGGCUCAUGCCACUUUUGCCCAUCGCUGCGCCCGGUGGUUUACUGGUAAAUGUUUAACGGCCAGCUCCUGGAAAGAAGAGAACCCGAGUUAGAGCAUUUGACACCUUCCGUGGUGUCACCGUCCCCACCAUAGCAGUUUCCAAGCUAGCAGAGUGCAUCGCUGAACAAGGAGUUGGAAGAUGACGCAUCCCGCUAGAGGGCACGUCCACCUACGGAUACGACAUGCCAGGGGCCACACCAGCAAACAACGGCUUCGGGGCUAGAUUCGGCCCGGGGCUGGCAAAGCGUAAAAUACGGCCCAUCUGGCCCUUUCACAGAAAAGGUCUGGUGACCACUGCAAGACAUCUGACCUUCAGAACCGAGGUCCUCAUGAAAUGCAGUCGAAAAAUUAGGAAGGGAUACGUUUGAUUAACCUUUUUAAAACUAUAAUUUAAUUGUAAUUUUAUGUAAUUUAAGCGUGCUCGCUGGCUGUCUGACAGUCGCCUCGGAAGAUUUCCGAAGAAGUAACAACCAGCUCUCAAGAGCCAGGAUCGGAUAGCUCCAGCCUGCCCGUGUCUCCAGGGCCUGGCCCAGAGGGGUCCACGGUGCCUAUCGAAUGGCUGGAAAUCAAUGCCAGCAUUCUAACGACGAAGCCACUUUUCAUGCUUCCUUCAUUGUUUCAUUCAGUUCCGUGAAACACCAGUCUGUUCGCACCUCCUGGCCGCCAAGGACUUUGUUAGGCAAACUGGUUCUCCCUUAUCCGCGGGGGGAUACGUUCCAAGACCCCCAGUGGACAUCUGAGACCACGGGUAGUACCGAACCCCAUAGAGACCGUUUUCUUCCUGUAUAUACACACCGACGAUAAAGUUGAAUUUAUCAGGCCCUGUAAGAGAUUAACAACAAUGACAAAUUAUAACCCAGGACAAUUACAACAAUACACUGUAAUAAAAGUUAUGUGAGGGGCA